rnacentral:rRNA from 1 species
CAGUCGCCACGGUAAAACCGGCAGCACGAGUGAUGACCGCUAUUAUUGGGCCUAAAGCGUCCGUAGCUGGCCACGCAAGUCCGUCGGGAAAUCCGCGCGCUUAACGCGCGGGCGUCCGGUGGAAACUGUGUGGCUUGGGACCAGAAGAUCCAGAGGGUACGUCCGGGGUAGGAGUGAAAUCCCGUAAUCCUGGACGGACCACCGGUGGCGAAAGCGCUCUGGAAAGACGGAUCCGACGGUGAGGGACGAAAGCUCGGGUCACGAACCGGAUUAGAUACCCCCGUAGUCCCUGUCUCUUAUU